rnacentral:lncRNA from 1 species
GAGCGUCCCCCGAGUUGCUGCGCUGCUGCCGGAGCCCUCCUUCAGCACAAAUCCCCCUCCGCCCUCGGCAAGGGCGUCCUGAGCAGGAGACCUGAGAUAUCUCGGCCUAGCUGUGGCCAGGGCCUGGUACCAAUGACCUCUCAGGGCUUUGGAUGCACCAGGUCAAACCAGCCAACCACCUGCCUCCAAUCAGGAAUGCACGCCCCAUCCCAGGCAGAGAGACAAGGGAGUUCCACAAUUUCUUCCUUGAUGAAUGAUUCCUAUCUACCACAAUUUUCAUUCAAUGCAUCAAAUCAACCAAUGAUGAUUUAAAAACAGCACUACAAAAACUCCGCAAAGCGGGUGGGAAUUUCCUGCUUGGGUCCAGCCUCCGUGUUUCCCGCGCACAGCCCGGUCUUUACCCUGGAUGCUUCCGAACCGGCAUCAUCUGGCAUCUCCGACAGUCUUGAUGCGACUUAACGCAUGGUAAGAACCCAUCAGAGAAGGUGAAAGGGAUUUCCAGAGACAGGUAGAGGCACUGCGCUGGGCAGCACCAGGGAGGAAUAUUAUCUUUUCAAGCAGCUGGACUCUGACCUAGAAGCCGGAACUCCUGAGUACUGAGGUCAGCACCUCUCUCACACACCCCCAGCUAUAAGCUUGAAGGAAACCCCUCCCCUUCUCUGGGCCUUGAUUUCCCCUCCUGCUCAGUGGGGACGUUCUUGGUCCUCCUUCUUGCCCACUCUACCCAGUCGCCGAGUCUGGCG